AUACGGAGGGUGCAAGCGUUGUUCGGAUUCACUGGGUAUAAAGGGUGCGCAGGCGGUCUGAUAAGUCAGAGGUGAAAUAUGCCGGCUCAACCGGCAAACGGCCCCUGAAACUGUCAGACUUGAGUCCGGGAGAGGUAGGUGGUAUUCCAGGUGUAGCAGUGAAAUGCGUAAAUAUCUGGAGGAACACCGGUGGCGAAGGCGGCCUACUGGCCCGGAACUGACGCUCAGGCACGAAAGCAUGGGGAGCGAACGGGAUUAGAUACCCCGGUAGUCC
rnacentral:rRNA from 1 species